UAGUUGUAAUAAAUAUGUUAGGGGGUCACUACUAAUGUUUGUGUGUUUUGUGAAAACUCUAUGUCAUAACUAAAAGAAAUGAGUUGAUUGUACUAUUUAAGUGAAAUAUACAGUGCACUGAUCAUGUUAAGCAGAGACAACGAUAAAUGUUAUGUUUUUGCAAGGCAGAGGAGGGGUCUAAAAAAAUUCUGCCCAUCAACCAUUCCUCCUGCUUCUCAGUCCAGAUGAAUGACUCCAUUCCUCGUGCUGCUGUGACAAAUAGGCUACUACAUCAAAUGGUUCUUCAUCUACAGUGGAUGUGGAAUAUUUAUGAGUUUAAAUGUUGUUUGUUCAUGUUUUAUCAAUAAUAAAAGGCAUUCCUAUA